AGCCUACAACUACAACAACUACUGAGCCAACAACAACCACAACAGAGCCAACCACAACCACAACUGAGCCUACAACAAAUACUGAGCCAUCUACAACCACACAUGAGCCUACUACAACCACAACUGAGCUAACAACAUCUUCUACUGGCGGAGGUAAUUGGAACACUGGAGUAAUAGUCAGCGCGGUCAUUCUGGUAUUGCUGUGGUGUUGGUGCUGACCAAAUUCGUCCUAACUUAAACGAAAUCUGCCGCGGCAAAAAAGGAGAAGCAAUAUUCAGAUACACGGGAGGUUGAGGAUAACUACUACAGGCGAUACACCUAUUGGGAGCAUAGCAGAGGUUAUCCGAGCUUCGGACGUUCCUCUGGAUCCAGUCGUAUACAGACCCGUUUUUAUUAAUGACUACAGCUGUGUGAUAACUUUGAGAUUUGGUUGGCUAGCUUUAUUUGACUUUUUGUAGUACAUGUGCUUUAAAAGAGGAAACUACGUGAUGCAUAAAUACUAAGUUUUUGUCGCAUUGUGUUAAUAAGCGCGAAAAUAUUCACACGCGAAUAAGCAUUGAAAUAUGUUUCAUAUUCUUUUUAGAUGAAAUAAAUAUAUUUCAGGAUUGCUGCAAAUGCGAAAAUUUCAAUACCACGAUCGCUUUGAAGAGUCACCAAGGAAACAUUUGCAAAGCAAACAUGUACACUGUAACAGUAUUUGGAGUUUAAACUCAACAUAAUUAAGAAAUCCCUUUGUUUCUAUAAACGUUAUUUUAUGUUGUACAUAUUAGUUUUUGAAUCGCAUCGUUCUAUAACAUGUCAAUAACAUAAAGAGUGCACAUACACUCUGUUUAUCAUUGAAAGUUUCAAAUCAUAAUUGUUAUCCCGCAUUGCUUAUGUUCGUACGUUCAUAUUAUUAAUAACAAAUUGGAAUAAUAAGAUACAUUUCCAAUAAAGCGCUUCGUUGAAUACAACAAUUCAGCUUUUCGUUGAAUAGAACAAUUCAGCGUUUCAUUGAAUAUAACAAUUCAGGGCUGCGCUUAAUUUCGGCGUUUUUUAAUAGAUUUAAAAACCCCAAUGCUUAUACGAACAACGAACAUUGCAACUUGAAGAUGUUGUUUGCCAAUUUGUUGUCACUAAAAUAUCCAAUGAUUGACUAUAUCUACUAAGCACUUUGCCAAAGGUAUAGCGACAUUCUACGCAUUUUAUCAAAUGCUCACAUUUAUAUCAAGUUCCAUAUCUAUAAAUUUCAUUAUAUAUUUGCAUGUUAAUAUUGAUAAUACAUUAGAUAUGCACUGACAGUGCAAUGCAUAUAUUUUUCCCGUGUGGAGAAGUAGCGAGGAGUUUCACGGUCUGGUUUCGUUUGUCUGUUCACCGAAGUAGAUGCAUUUUAGGAGUCUUCAGCCUCACCCUCUAUGGUGAGGUUUGGGUGAGGAUGGUGAGGCAUUAUAGUAAUGAUAGAAGAAGGAGGGUGAGGAUGGUGAGGCUUUAAAGUACUGAUAGAUGAAGGAGGGUGAGGUUAGUCAUGCUUGUGAGGCAUUAUAUUGAAGACAGAUUAAGGAGGGUGAGGUCAAGUAGGAUAACGUACCUGAACUGACAAGGUCAAAGGUUAAAGCUAUUAGACAGAUGUUUUUACUUAACAUGUUCAUUCAUCCGGAAAAUCCUCAUACAAAGACCAUAUUCGAGUGAAUGUCAUAAUCAAGUUUAGAACACUUUCUAAGGUGUUUUGUAUAGAGAAAAAUAUGUUUCUAUGUUAUCUUAUGUAGGGACCUGCCUGUUUUACAAAUAAGACGCUACCUAGACAACAGUCUGUGUGUAAAGUCCACGAUCCUUUAUGUGACAUUUAAAUAAAGGGACUCUCUUGCAGUUUUCAUUAUCAUCUAUAGCACCCUGUACUGAUUAGUAGCAGAUUAUAUAUGUAUUUCUAUAUAAGUGACAACCUCGAGUCUACAAUUUGUUCACAUCCAAUUAGACAACUAUCAAUCCAGAUAAUCACUGCCAGUCUAAACGUUUUCUUCGAUAUGAAAAAGUGUAGUAAAGCAAGAUAUUAUGUGAAUAACCACACCAACUCUUCAGAUAUGAAUAACAGCCAUUUAUUUGUUAAUCAUGCAUUAUUUCGCUGUAACAUGAACAUCGUAAGGCCUACACGUUGUAUGCAUUUCAAAACAUCUGAUCUAUAGCAUAAUUUAAAUGACCAUACUAGUUUUCAGAUAUAAAUAAUCUCUUUCUUUAAUUCAUGUAAUUUCUAAUAUAAAAGAGGUAUUGUGGUGUACGCAUUCCACAAUUUGUUAUAUUCUAGCAUUAUCUUUUAUUUAAUAGCAUAUAAUCAAAUAAAUGUUUCUAGUUUAUCACAUAAUGGUCACAUAAAUAAUUAAUUGCUGACCAAGUGUCAGAAUAAGUGACCUAACACUGACCAAUCAGCAACGCUAGAGGUGAAGUGUCUCCCUCAAAACAGGAGAAUAAAACUAGUUUGCUGAAUCAUGUACUUUAAUUAAUCUCGUGUAAGGUUGUUCUUAUUUGUCAGGUGAAAUAGAGAACAUUCAUUCAAUUGAAAUAUAAAUAGCAUCACGGAGUACAAUUUCUAGUGAUUAAUAUGUUUGAUAAAGGAAAUGUACAUCGAUUUUGUGAAAAACCUGAGGAUGAAAUUGAUUACAAAUUAACUAUAGAAACUCCAGAGAGUGAAAAUAAAGUACAAGUUGAAUUAUCAUUCAACAGAAAAACGCAGAGGUUAAACAUAUGCACAAAAAUAUUUUGGAGCCAGUGCAGAUAAUUGAUCCCGAACCGAGAGAGUUUAUAGACUUGGAAACGGUUGAAGUUAAAAGCAUGAUUUGAUGAACCAAAAUACAGUGUUUGUUGCCUUAAUUAACUUAUGCACCAUUACCGCAAUGUUUCUUAAAAGACAAUCAAAUUCAAAACGAAGAUCUUUGAGUUUUUUGUUGUUGUACAUAAACACAUAUAUAUAAACAUACGCAUGACCAUACUAGUUAUAUAUAUAUAUAUAAUCUUCUAACAACUUUCUGCAUCGUUUAUUAUAAAUAAUACAAAGUCUCAUUUUUAAUAAGAAAACUUUAAAUCAUUGAAUGAAAUUAAACCAUUGUUAAAAUAUUUAGUUAUUUAAAAUAUCAAAAAUAUAACAUGAAUUCUUCUUAACUCUCGACUUUGUUGUGUUCAAUCAGAUCCCGUUUAAUUAAUAUUAUUUCAAGGUAAAAAUGAGGCUUUGCUUUAUCUGAUGUACAAUUCAUAUAGAUACAUUGAAAACAUGUAAUCGGUUGUUGUAAUAAUUUUAGAGUUAUGUUUUGCAAUACAAGACAUAAAGCUACAUGUAUGUCUACUAUUAAUGUGACGUAAACUUUACUACUUCAUCAUUGCUUUAUAGAAAUUAUAACUAAAUAAAUACAUUGUAAAAGGAAUACAUAAAGUGAUAUGAGGCUUUUUUCCUGAUGUACAAUACAUAGAGAUACAUAGUUAUUGAAACGUAUAAUGAACUAUGACAUAAUUUUAUUGGUUAAAUUUCGAACUAAUUGCAGUAGUUUUGUACAUGAUAAAUAAUUUCUAACAUUUACAAAAUAUCUAUUAUUAAAGUCGU